rnacentral:rRNA from 1 species
AGGACGAACGCUGGCGGCGUGCCUAACACAUGCAAGUCGAACGAGAAAUGAUGAUUGAUUCUUCGGAAGAAAAGAUUCAUGGACAGUGGCGGACGGGCGAGUAACGCGUGAGUAACCUGCCCAUAAGAGAGGGAUAGCCGAUGGAAACGUCGAGUAAUACCUCAUAAUGUAAUUAAUUCGCAUGGAUAGAUUAUGAAAGAUUUAUCGCUUAUGGAUGGACUCGCGUCUGAUUAGAUAGUUGGAGAGGUAACGGCUCACCAAGUCGACGAUCAGUAGCCGAACUGAGAGGUUGAACGGCCGCAUUGGGACUGAGACACGGCCCAGACUCCUACGGGAGGCAGCAGUGGGGAAUAUUGCGCAAGUGGGGGGAACCCUGACGCAGCAACGCCGCGUGCAGGAAGAAGGUCUUCGGAUUGUAAACUGUUGUCGCAAGGGAAGAAGGAAGUGACGGUACCUUGUGAGAAAGUCACGGCUAACUACGUGCCAGCCGCUGC